rfam:Myotis davidii contig37797, whole genome shotgun sequence.
GGCCUGGUGGCUCAGUUGGUUAGAGCGUUAGCCUGUACACUACACCAAAAGGUUGCUGGUUCAAUUCCUGUCCUGGUCA